GGUUAAGUGACGAAGCGUGCAGGGUGGAUGCCUAGGCAGUCAGAGGCGAAGAAGGACGUGUUAAUCUGCGAAAAGCGUGGAGGAGUUGAUAAAAAGCGUUAUUACUCCACGAUAUCCGAAUGGGGAAACCCAGUGGGUGAAGAACCCACUAUCAGCACAUGAAUUCAUAGUGUGUUGAGGCGAACCGGGAGAACUGAAACAUCUCAGUACCCCGAGGAAAAGAAAUCAACCGAGAUUCUGUAAGUAGCGGCGAGCGAACGCGGAAGAGCCGUUAGUGAUAGUAUGUGUGUUAGGAGAAUGAGUUGGGAAGCUCAAUCGCAGAGGGUGAUAAUCCCGUAUCCGAAGGCGCGUAUAUGGUACUAAGCUAACAAGAAGUAGGGCGGGACACGAGAAAUCCUGUUUGAAGAUGGGGGGACCAUCCUCCAAGGCUAAAUACUCCUGACUGACCGAUAGUGAACCAGUACCGUGAGGGAAAGGCGAAAAGAACCCUGGUGAAGGGAGUGAAAUAGAACCUGAAACCCUGUACGUACAAGCAGUGGGAGCCGCAAGGUGACUGCGUACCUUUUGUAUAAUGGGUCAGCGACUUAUAUUAUGUAGCGAGGUUAACCGCAUAGGGGAGCCGAAGGGAAACCGAGUCUUAACUGGGCGAAUAGUUGCAUGAUAUAGACCCGAAACCCGGUGAUCUAGCCAUGGGCAGGUUGAAGGUUGGGUAACACUAACUGGAGGACCGAACCGACUACUGUUGAAAAAGUAGCGGAUGACUUGUGGCUGGGGGUGAAAGGCCAAUCAAACCGGGAGAUAGCUGGUUCUCCCCGAAAUCUAUUUAGGUAGAGCCUUGGACGAAUACCUUCGGGGGUAGAGCACUGUUUCGGCUAGGGGGCCAUCCCGGCUUACCAACCCGAUGCAAACUACGAAUACCGAAGAGUAAUAUCCGGGAGACACACGGCGGGUGCUAACGUUCGUCGUGAAGAGGGAAACAACCCAGACCGCCAGCUAAGGUCCCGAAGUACUAAUUAAGUGGGAAACGAAGUGGGAAGGCUUAGACAGCUAGGAUGUUGGCUUAGAAGCAGCCAUCAUUUAAAGAAAGCGUAAUAGCUCACUAGUCGAGUCGGCCUGCGCGGAAGAUGUAACGGGGCUAAAAUUAGUCACCGAAGCUGCGGCAUCAGUGGAAACACUGUUGGGUAGGGGAGCGUUGUGUAAGCGGAAGAAGGUGAAUCGAGAGGUUUGCUGGACGUAUCACAAGUGCGAAUGCUGACAUAAGUAACGAUAAAGGGGGUGAAAAACCCCCUCGCCGGAAGACCAAGGGUUCCUGUCCAACGUUAAUCGGGGCAGGGUGAGUCGGCCCCUAAGGCGAGGCUGAAGAGCGUAGUCGAUGGGAAACGGGUUAAUAUUCCCGUACUUGUUAUAAGAGCGAUGUGGGGACGGAGCAGGUUAGGUUAUCCGGGUGACGGAAGUCCCGGUCCAAGCGUGUAGGAUGGAUGAUUAGGCAAAUCCGGUCAUCUAUAUCAGAGGCGUGACGGGGAGGCACCAAGGUGCCGAAGUAACCGAUACCACACUUCCAGGAAAAGCCGCUAAGCAUAUUUUAUAAUAAACCGUACUGAAAACCGACACAGGUGGUCAGGUAGAGAAUACUCAGGCGCUUGAGAGAACUCGGGUGAAGGAACUAGGCAAAAUAGCACCGUAACUUCGGGAGAAGGUGCGCUGAGGGUAGUUGAAGUCCCGAGCGGACGGAGGCGAGCUCAGUCGAAGAUACCAGCUGGCUGCAACUGUUUAUUAAAAACACAGCACUCUGCAAACACGAAAGUGGACGUAUAGGGUGUGACGCCUGCCCGGUGCUGGAAGGUUAAUUGAUGAUGUGAGAGCAUUUGAUCGAAGCCCCAGUAAACGGCGGCCGUAACUAUAACGGUCCUAAGGUAGCGAAAUUCCUUGUCGGGUAAGUUCCGACCUGCACGAAUGGCGUAAUGAUGGCCAGGCUGUCUCCACCCGAGACUCAGUGAAAUUGAAAUCGCCGUGAAGAUGCGGUGUACCCGCGGCUAGACGGAAAGACCCCGUGAACCUUUACUAUAGCUUGACACUGAACAUUGAAUUUUGAUGUGUAGGAUAGGUGGGAGACUAUGAAGACGUAACGCCAGUUAUGUUGGAGUCGUUGUUGAAAUACCACCCUUUAAGGUUUGAUGUUCUAACACAGAUUGCGAAACGCGGUCGUGGACAGUGUCUGGUGGGUAGUUUGACUGGGGCGGUCUCCUCCCAAAGCGUAACGGAGGAGUACGAAGGUUUGCUAAUCACGGUCGGACAUCGUGAGGUUAGUACAAUGGUAUAAGCAAGCUUGACUGCGAGACGGACAUGUCGAGCAGGUGCGAAAGCAGGUCAUAGUGAUCCGGUGGUUCUGAAUGGAAGGGCCAUCGCUCAACGGAUAAAAGGUACUCCGGGGAUAACAGGCUGAUACCGCCCAAGAGUUCAUAUCGACGGCGGUGUUUGGCACCUCGAUGUCGGCUCAUCACAUCCUGGGGCUGAAGUAGGUCCCAAGGGUAUGGCUGUUCGCCAUUUAAAGUGGUACGCGAGCUGGGUUUAGAACGUCGUGAGACAGUUCGGUCCCUAUCUGCCGUGGGCGUUGGAGAAUUGAAAGGGGCUGCUCCUAGUACGAGAGGACCGGAGUGGACGCACCGCUGGUGUUCCAGUUGUUUCGCCAGAAGCAUUGCUGGGUAGCUAUGUGCGGGAGAGAUAAGUGCUGAAAGCAUCUAAGCACGAAACUUGCCUUGAGAUGAGUUCUCCCCGGAUAAAAUCCGGUAAGGGUUGUUUAAGACUAAGACGUAGAUAGGCGGGGUGUGUAAGUGUAGCGAUACAUUGAGCUAACCCGUACUAAUUGCCCGAGAGGCUUAACCAU
rnacentral:rRNA from 1 species